rnacentral:lncRNA from 1 species
AAUAUUCUAUUUUCUUAUAAAACAAUAUUUAUAGAGUUAUACGUGAAUAAUUUUUAUAGCGUAAAAGCUAAAUAAAUUUAUACAUACUAAAAUACAAUAAGCAAAAAUAUUUAAUUUAAUUUACAAUAACAAGAAGGUCCCCAAAUAAACAAAAGUAAAGAGGACUGUGAACCUACGGUUUGGAAAAUGCAGAUCCAACGGUAGUCCUCAAUGAGAUCAGCUAUCUACAACUUAUACUGAACCUAAAAUGGGUGGAAAUGAGGGUGGUGAGAUUAUAAAAUCUCAAUAAGUAAACAGACAUCAUCAUAAAUAUCUAGAGUUGAGUACAUGGAGACAAUAAAGUAAAUCAUCGUAAACUGAGUCUCAGCAUUAUAAACAUUUCAUUUAAAAUACGUAAAGAGGCUUAUGAAUCUCAUAAAAACUAGGCUUAUGCCAUAAAUCCAUUCUCAGGGACACCUUGGCUGAGGCAUCCUACAGAGACCGCUAAGGUUAUUAAAAUUCACAUUUCACAUAAAUCAUGUUUUUGUUUUGAAAACAUAGUCAUUCCUUAGCGUUGGCUGAGUUCCCCCUCACGUGGUGGUUUGGCGUGAAGUGAACCCUAAGUUUUACCCCAGGAGAUACCCUACGCGCCUCUCCGUUCGAGGUAAGAAUCUAAUGGGGUUUACCGUACCCCUCUAAAGGCUGGUUCACAGAAACCCCUUACUGCAGUGAUUAAUUAAUAUAUAUAAUCCACCAUACAAUAAAACUCAAUAACAUGAUAUGGCAAUUUUGUAAUUCACAGUCUUUCAAGGCAAUCAAACAAUUCGCAUUUCAAUACAAUUGCCAACUAACCAAUCAUGCCCGAUUUAUCAUAAGCCAAUCAAUUUAAACAAUCAAAUUGUCACAAUUAACAGUCUCCGUGUACUCUAUUUUUCAAAAUCACUAUUAAUUUCAAAAUAAUUUAUAAUUUAAUUUCAUUGACGCACAUUUAUUCAUAAAACAUGAAAAUUUACCUUUUUAAAUUCCUUUUUCCAUGAAAUUCAUGAAAUCAUCUAAAAACCACCCUAGAUAAUUAAAAUGACAGUAAGUUUACUCACAAUGUCUAGAAUGCAGACUUUCGACGUACUUUGUCUACUGGUCCUCGGAUGCAAUUUUCUUGCCUUUAUCGGAGGACUCACCACCUUGACACAGUACAAAAUCGAGAAAUUCACUACAUUGGUACUAAAUUGAAAUUAAACUAAUUUAGACUAUUAAUGCAUAAUAUGGAAUGCAAAAAUGCACUGGUAACUAUCUAAACUUGGUAUUGGCCUAAUUCGUCUUAUCACCCGAUUAAAUUACUAAUGCGUCCAAUUUAAUCUCAAAUUAAUUUUGUUUCAGUUUCUAUACCUCAAUUGCACGCAAAUUGACUUAAUGUCCCUCAGUGUGGUGCAAAUUAUCAGUCCCGAUAGUAAAUUACAAAAAUAGCCUUAGUGGGUAAAAAUUCGUAUUUUUGCUCCGAAAAUUUCCAUUAUUUUUCUAGGCUCAUAAUUCAUCAUUUCUUAACCAAUUCUCCUAGAAUAAAAAUCAAACUCAUCCUCACUCAUACAUGGUAAAUUCGACCAUUAAUGGUUGUGGGAGAAAAUAAAUUCUUUUCUUGUUGUUUUGUUUCUAAAUAUGCUAAAUUAACUAAAAAUACUAACAUAACUUAAAAUCAAAUUAAUCCAACAACUUUCUCUCUCCUAACCCAUUUUGAUCAGCCAACAAUUCAUCAUAAAAACAUAUAAUUUAAGCAUGAAAAAUAAGGAGAAAUGCUUAAGGAAAAUGGAUUUCAAGCUUAAGUUGAAAAAUCCAACCUUUUUCACUUGUUUUCCUUGAUUUUCCACACUUUUUCUCUUGAAAUUCCUCACCUAGGGUUUGUUCUUCCUCUUUCUCUCUCUUCCUUGCUUG